rnacentral:rRNA from 1 species
AUACGUAGGGGGCGAGCGUUAUCCGGAUUCAUUGGGCGUAAAGCGCGCGUAGGCGGCCUGCUAGGUCGGGACUCAAAUCCGGGGGCUAAACCCCCGCCCGGUCCCGAUACCGACAGGCUUGAGUCUGGUCGGGGAAGGCGGAAUUCCAAGUGUAGCGGUGGAUUGCGCAGAUAUUUGGAAGAACACCGGUGGCGAAGGCGGCCUUCUGGGCCACGACUGACGCUGAGGCGCGAAAGCUAGGGGAGCGAACAGGAUUAGAUACCCUGGUAGUCCUAGCUGUAAACGAUGGACACUAGGUGUGGGGGGAUGUGCCCUCCGUGCCGCAGCCAACGCAUUAAGUGUCCCGCCUGGGGAGUACGGCCGCAAGGCUAAAACUCAAAUGAAUUGGCGGGG